AACGCUAGCUACAGGCUUAACACAUGCAAGUCGAGGGGAAACGACAUCGAAAGCUUGCUUUUGAUGGGCGUCGACCGGCGCACGGGUGAGUAACGCGUAUCCAACCUGCCCACCACUUGGGGAUAACCUUGCGAAAGUAAGACUAAUACCCAAUGAUAUCUCUAGAAGACAUCUGAAAGAGAUUAAAGAUUUAUCGGUGAUGGAUGGGGAUGCGUCUGAUUAGCUUGUUGGCGGGGUAACGGCCCACCAAGGCGACGAUCAGUAGGGGUUCUGAGAGGAAGGUCCCCCACAUUGGAACUGAGACACGGUCCAAACUCCUACGGGAGGCAGCAGUGAGGAAUAUUGGUCAAUGGACGAGAGUCUGAACCAGCCAAGUAGCGUGCAGGAAGACGGCCCUAUGGGUUGUAAACUGCUUUUAUAAGGGAAUAAAGUGAGUCUCGUGAGACUUUUUGCAUGUACCUUAUGAAUAAGGACCGGCUAAUUCCGUGCCAGCAGCCGCGGUAAUACGGAAGGUCCGGGCGUUAUCCGGAUUUAUUGGGUUUAAAGGGAGCGUAGGCCGGAGAUUAAGCGUGUUGUGAAAUGUAGACGCUCAACGUCUGCACUGCAGCGCGAACUGGUUUCCUUGAGUACGCACAAAGUGGGCGGAAUUCGUGGUGUAGCGGUGAAAUGCUUAGAUAUCACGAAGAACUCCGAUUGA
rnacentral:rRNA from 1 species